rnacentral:tRNA from 2 species
GUUGGCAUAACCCUAACUGGUAAGGGAUCGUCUUGGAAAGGCGAGAGUAAUCGGAGUUUUCCGAUGUUUCGGUUCGAAUCCGAAUGCCGACG